rnacentral:lncRNA from 1 species
GUCUAAAGGUAUGGCUGUGUUUUUUUUACUUUGGAUUCUUUACAUUGGAUGCAUGGCUAUCAGCCUCUCUGUUAAACUACGCAGACCAGAAAUGGACGCUUUUGAAUGGGGUAAGCUAGACACCGUGGUGAAAGGAUAGCCCCCAUGCUUGAGAGCUGUAGCUGCCACCUGCUUUUUAAUCAAGAAAGCAAAAAAAUUGGCUAUGGGCCUACCUAUGAGGGUUGGACCCCUACAUCAAUUCUCUAGUCUACCAGUGACUGAUGACGCCUCUGGCUAUCCCAAAAGAGAAUAGUGCACUAUCAAGAUAUGAUGCUAGAUUCCCUUCAGAUUUCUCUAAAAUCCUGUCAUAUCUUAAAUGCUGCUGCUCUUCUCCUUGAUUCCAAUGGGUCUUUAAGCCAUGCUUGCCCAGAAGUGACCUCCAGCCAUAGAGAUCUCCAGAGUGAAUCAUGGACGUUGAACAUGGGCCAGAGAUGCUUAAACUGCUAGAAGUGGUACAGGUCCCCAAGAAAGUAGCUGGGAUCCAUGGUAAAGCCCAUCAAAGUGAGGAAUCAGAUUCCACAAAAGGACAUAACGUGGCAGCUGCAGCUGCAAAAAUGGCCGCUCCAUCAGGAGAGCUUCUGUAGUUACCAUUAAUUUCCACACUGCCCUUGUGUGAACUGACACCUUCUGUGAACUUACUACAGAUGAAGUUAGGGAAGCUACUACACAGCAUUAUCAGUAGUCCCCAAUAGUCAAGGGCUGGAUGACAAAGAAACAAGGCAAGGUUUAUGUCCCCAAAUAGCUUUAGUGUGCUCGUGACAACUUAACUCUCAAGGAUUCAACCCACUUUGAUUUUGGUAACACCAUGACCUCACAGAGACCACCUCUGACCUCAUAGAGGCCCCUUCUGCCCUCGCUGACAGACAGAGAUCUCAGCUGACCUAACAGAGACAUCCCCUGACACUUUAGACACUCCCCCUGACCAGAUAGAGACAUCCCAUGCCCACACAGAGACUUGUCUGACCACCCAGAGACCUCCACUGACCUCAUAGUGAAGCCCUCUUCCCUCAAAGUGAGGUCUCCUGAUUUCACAGAGAACUCCCUGAACACACAAAGAACUCCCAUGACCUCCAAGAAACCUCUAGUGACAUUAUAGAGACCCCCCCUGUGACCUCACCAAGACCUGAUAUCACAGAGGCCAACCAUUACCUCAACAAGACCCCCUACAACACAGUGAGAACUCCACUAAUUUCAUGGAAACCUCAAGUGACUCUCACCAGAUCUAGGAUCUCAGGGAAAUGAAGAGAGGAUGGUGGGUGCACCCGCCCCUCCCCAACUGACUGACAAAUCCCAUGGGUCUUAUUGACUGUUAGCACUCUGGAAGUCCUGCUCCAUGGAGGGAAAACCCUUCUUUCUAUCUACGCAUGCACAGCAAAGCCUACUGCGGUGGUGUACUUGGCGGUUGGGGAAAUGGCACUGGCGGUGGCUGCAGUGGUAAAGGCCAUGGUGGCAGCUGCUUCCCAGACAUCUGGCAUCUUGGGGACCCGAGGAGUGCAUCGUUGGUGCACCCACACCCUCCCC